rnacentral:rRNA from 1 species
AGUGAACGCUGGCGGCGUGCCUAAUACAUGCAAGUCGAACGGAGUGGCGCACGGGUGAGUAAUAUAUAUCUAACUUGCCCAUUACUAAGGGACAACAGUUGGAAACGACUGCUAAUACCUUAUAGUAAUGGAUAGGGCUAUAUCGUAUCAGCUAGUUGGUAAGGUAACGGCUUACCAAGGCGAUGACGCGUAACUGGUCUGAGAGGAUGAUCAGUCACACUGGACGUGAGGCACGGUGCGGAAUCCUACGGGAGGCAGCAGUAGGGUAUAUUGCUCAAUGGGGGAAACCCUGAAGCAGCAACGGCGCGUAGAGGAUGUCACGUGUCGGAGCGUAAGCUCCUUUUCAUGGGAAAGCGGUACCCAAGGAAUAAGCACCGGCUAACUCCGUGCCAGCAGCCGCGGUAAUUC